rnacentral:misc_RNA from 1 species
AGGUUCACUUGAUGAAUUUUUCAACUAAAGGAAAUGAUACCCUCAUUAGAUGGGCCAUCUUUCCUGCAGGAUCUGCUGAUUACAUGUCACAUACCACUGCAAUGGAAAUAACAAGCCGAUUAGCUGGUGAUCGUCUUCAUCUUCCAGAUACAUUUGGAAGCUACAAAUUAGUCAAAUGGGACAUUGAACCCUUAUCGAAAAGGACGCGAUGGCAGCAAAGUUACCUGGCUGUGGUGUUAGCACUUUUAGUUAUCUUGGUACUAGGAUUAUCAGCUUCCCUGGGAUGGUUUAUUUGGAGACGAAGACAAACUCCUACCCCAUAUGAUCCUCUUGGAAGCGUUGAA